rnacentral:rRNA from 1 species
AGUAACGGAGGCGCCCAAAGGUUCCCUCAACCUGGUUGGCAAUCAGGUGUCGAGUGUAAGUGCACAAGGGAGCUUGACUGUGAGAGUGACGGCUCGAGCAGGGACGAAAGUCGGGACUAGUGAUCCGGCAGUGGCUUGUGGAAGCGCUGUCGCUCAACGGAUAAAAGGUACCUCGGGGAUAACAGGCUGAUCUUGCCCAAGAGUCCAUAUCGACGGCAUGGUUUGGCACCUCGAUGUCGGCUCGUCGCAUCCUGGGGCUGGAGUAGGUCCCAAGGGUUGGGCUGUUCGCCCAUUAAAGCGGUACGCGAGCUGGGUUUAGAACGUCGUGAGACAGUUCGGUCCCUAUCCGCUGCGCGCGUAGGAAAUUUGAGAAGAUCUAUCCCUAGUACGAGAGGACCGGGAUGGACGAACCUCUGGUGUGUCAGUUGUUCCGCCAGGAGCACCGCUGAUUAGCUACGUUCGGAACGGAUAACCGCUGAAAGCAUCUAAGCGGGAAGCCGGCUUCAAGAUGAGAUUUCCAUCCCUUCGGGGGAGAGGCUCCCAGCUAGACUACUGGGUUGAUAGGC